UAUCAAAUGUCAUACACGGCCUGCCUUUGUAGUUGUGGGAUUGGAACACUCCAUCUCAUUCCUUGCAGUUGUGCAUAUUGUGGAUUGUUUUCUACCUAUCUUCCUGAUGGAAUCUAUGGUGCGUGAGCAAUGUGGCUGUUGCGCUUGUUUGCCAAUCAUAAACUUAUCUCUUGUUGAGAUUGGGCUGUUGCGCUUGUUUGUCGAUCAGCAUUAAAUGCUAUUCUCUGCUUUAUUUCCACACUGUAGAAUGGUUUCUGCUAACAACUCACUCUCUGAUCUGAGUGCAUUGCCUGUUGCAAUAGAGUUUGGCCUAGCAGUGUCCAAGGUGACUUAUGAAGAGACAAUGGCUAUGACGGAGGAGUGUUCAAAUAACUGAAGCGUCAAGAACCUAUAGAUUUUUAUUUGAAAAAAAAAAUGUCAUUUUUUUUCUUUCUAACAGAAAAUUUUGAUUCAUACACAA